UACGUAGGGGGCAAGCGUUGUCCGGAUUUAUUGGGCGUAAAGAGCGUGUAGGCGGCCAUACAGGUCCGUUGUGAAAACUGGAGGCUUAACCUCCAGACGUCGAUGGAAACCGUAUGGCUAGAGUGCGGAAGAGGCGAGUGGAAUUCCUGGUGUAGCGGUGAAAUGCGCAGAUAUCAGGAGGAACACCUAUUGCGAAGGCAGCUCGCUGGGACGUUACUGACGCUGAGACGCGAAAGCGUGGGGAGCAAACAGG
rnacentral:rRNA from 1 species